GAUCAUGGCUCAGGAUAAACGCUAGCGGCAGGCCUAACACAUGCAAGUCGAGGGGCAGCAGGGAAGUAGCUUGCUACUUCUGCUGGCGACCGGCGCACGGGUGCGUAACGCGUAUGCAACCUACCUUUAACAGGGGGAUAAUCCGAAGAAAUUUGGUCUAAUACCCCAUAAUAUUGAUUAAGGCAUCUUGAUCAGUUGAAAGUUCCGACGGUUAAAGAUGGGCAUGCGUUGUAUUAGCUAGUUGG
rnacentral:rRNA from 1 species